UACAGAGGGUGCGAGCGUUACUCGGAAUUACUGGGCGUAAAGCGUGCGUAGCCGGUUAUUUAAGUCGGAUGUGAAAGCCCCGGGCUCAACCUGGGAAUUGCAUUCGAGACUGAAUAGCUAGGGUACGGUAGAGGGAAGCGGAAUUUCCGGUGUAGCGGUGAAAUGCGUAGAUAUCGGAAGGAACACCUGUGGCGAAGGCGGCCACCUGGUUGGAUACUGACGCUGAGACGCGAAAGCGUGGGGAGCAAACAGG
rnacentral:rRNA from 1 species